rnacentral:lncRNA from 1 species
ACAGAGCUCACCAAGAGUAAUAACAAGCUCACGAUGGGCCUAUCAGUUGGACAGACGGUGAUAAUUCUGGUUAAGUGUCCUCUUCUGGACUGCCUGGAAGCACAACAGGAAGACCUAUCACUGGGGAGAAUGAAAUACCUUCUACCUUCAUUUAUGAUGUAGAGAACUGUUGCUAGCACUACUAAUAACUCAGUGGUUGUAAUGAGAAUGUCUACAAUUGAAGAGAGAAACUAGCAGCUCUGCACAUAGUCCAGCCAUAACAGUAGCAAGAAUGCAGAAGUCUCCUUAGACAAAGUCAUUUCUGCCUCUCAAUGGCAUCGGAAAAGAAGACUGAUUAGAGGGAAGAGGAGGAAUCUACUAGCUGCCUUAAACAAGUGGCCACAAAGUAAAAUAAUAGAGGUCUUUUAUUCUGGUUUAUCCAAACCUGAGUCCAAAAGAAUGAGAACUUACAGGAUUUUUCAAUAUAUUUGAAGGCAAUAAUAGAUUUACUGGCAUUAUAUCACAGUUUCUAUUGAUUGGGCUUUCUAAUUCAUUUCUCUUUUUUUUUUUCUUAAUUUAGUGGAAAUUUUGCCAUGAUUCUGUGAGUGAAUGGAUAAUCAGUCCCACUUUAUAUAGAGGUCUGUUUUCAAAUUUUGUGUGUGUGUGUGUGUGUGUGUGUGUGUGUGUGUGUGUAAGUAUAACUUCCUAAGUAUUUCAGAGGAACAUAAGCUGCCUGCCAAACAAAUAUCAAACAGCAAUUCUCAUCCUAAACCUGCUUUUCAGGAAUCAACAUUUUUAACUAAAAAACUGAGACUCUCAAUAUGCAAUUUUGCAUAUGAGAGAAUGGGUGGAAAUUUGUAAAUAUGGGAUAGAGUGGCCUCAAAAGACCUGAAAACAUACCACAUGGGUGGGUACACACACAUAAAUCUCUCCCAGAAACAUACACAUAAAAUUAUGUGGUUAUAUGUAUAUGAAGAUGGGCAUGUUUAUAUAAACUACUUUAUUUUUAAAAUGUUUUCCUACAUCCAGAACAAAUCAACAAAACAAUAUUAAAAUUAUAUCAUCAAGAAAUUGAAACCAAACUAUUAGCAGACACUAGGUAAUGAGAAAAGUGGAAUAAUUUUUAAAAGUAGAGAUAAAGUUUGAUAAAUACCACACAGGUCUGUUAAAAAAUGAUAAUCAAAAAGCAAUUUCUGUCUUCACUUUGAUCAACAUAUUUACCUAUUCUGCAGUUUACAAACUGAACUUAUAAUUUUGACUGGAAUGUGAAACUGAUCAAUUUCUUUGGCAGCAUCCACAAACAAGUUGAGUUAUUCCUCAAGAAAUCACAGGAAAGAAGAUUUUGGGAAAGAGCAAAGGGGAGUAACCGGUAACUUAUAUGCCAGAGGAAGUAUACAAUGGGUUCUUUUAGUGCUGGAUAUUGAAGAGAGAAUGCUCUUGAAGUUCCCAUAAAACAUUAUGUAAAUUAAGCUAAAAUGGCAAUGACUUAUAAAAACAAAGAAAAAUGCCUCUUCUCUCUAAUUGCCUUUUGGAAUCAUUAAACAUUCUGCAAUUUGUUUUUAAGAAUUACCUUUUUCCACUAGAUUUUUGAAGAAUUAAUGAGAAAAAACUGUGAAAUUCUUUUGGCGACUAUUAAAAAUAAUAGGGACUGUGUUUUGGUGUACUCCUGACUUCCUCUGAGUUCCCUAGGUAUUGAAAUGGAGAGCUGGAUAAAGUGGACCGAAAUAAGUAUAAGCUUUGUUUUCAGGCACUCCAGAGAAGUUUUAAAAAAAAUAUUUAUACUUAAUUCAUGUAACAUGAGAAUGUAACAUUCACUCCCCGUCUAUCUCCAUCUCACCUGUCUGUGGCCUUAAGUGAAAGAAAAACACUUUCCCUUCCUUUUGUUCAAAGCAGAAAUUGACAUCACCAUACCUUGUUUAUGCCAGUUAAAUGAUGCAUUUGUAAAAAUAAUUAGAAGAUUUUUCUGAGGAAUAUGUAGGAGAAAAAGCAAGAUAAUCAGAAAUACUGUUGUUGCUUUUAGUACACUUUCUUUAAUAAAACGUUGUUUACUAUUCAUAU